rnacentral:lncRNA from 1 species
UCAAGGAAAGUCCAUUUCACUGCAGAGAACAGAAGAGAAUGAGCCAUUCCUGGGCUUUCAGCAGUGUGGGAGAAGAUCUUCAUAAGAGCUUUCUUCUGCUGGAGCAGUGCUGCAGCAAGAGAUGGAGAAGAAGAAAAGCUAUUUGUCUUUAGGGUUUGCUCCUGCUGUCAGGGUUCCACCACUCAGAGGGGACCCAGCUCUCUGCGCACUGGUGUCACUUGAGGCUCACCAAGAGUCAGCAGAGUGUUUUGUAGGGUCACCACGUGUCCCAGUGCCAGACCACAUUUCAGAGCCAAGACAUGAAAGAAAUGGAUUCCUGGGCUGCAGAGUCAGGAACACAACAGUAACCAUCACUCGUGGGACCUGCCUGACUGGAGCUCAGCAGUGAACCCAAGCAAAGCUGGUGCAAGUCCCACCAUGCAGGAGGCUGAGCCCUCCAAGAGUGUGGCUGCUGCUUUCCAGGCUGAGCAGAUUCUCCAGUUUCCUGCACUUUCAGGUUUGGAUGAUCUCUUCAAGAGGUAGGACUAAAUAUACAAAAAGUUUUUUUUGCAGAAUUUGGUGUAAACCCUCCAGGUUUUUUUUCCAAACUUCUCUUUUAGGCUUAAAGCUACUAUAAAAUUGCUCUUUGCAUGGUUAGAGAGGCAAAUGGCCCAUUGUUAAGCAGUGUAAUGCAUUUUGGAAGGUGGAUACAGGGAAAGGUAAAAAUUUAUCUUGUGUGGAAGCUGUACAUUCUGGGGAGAAAGAGUUUUAAAUAAAAGCCAGCAUGAUUAGAGGAAAAGGGUAGAU